rnacentral:tRNA from 1 species
UGGGGCGUCGCCAAGCGGUAAGGCACCGGAUUUUGAUUCCGGCAUGCGGAGGUUCGAAUCCUCCCGCCCCAGCCA